CGCUACCCCGUCCGAUUCUGCCGAGUUUUCUCAGUGGCUAGGCUAUCCCAUCUACUGAAUCGGCUCCAUCCCCAUUGAUUUGGAUCGGCCAGCCGGAGUAUUGGCCUUUGGAUUUCUAAAUUGUGGCCCUAUUUUGAAGCUCCCCAAUCCUGAAUCAAAGGUAUGUGCACUUCCGUGGAGUGCCCCACAUUUUGAGGAUUUGUAAUUUUUGCAACAGAUUUUGUUCUGUAAUGCAUCCUUCAGCUGGAUGAAAUUUGUUAUUUGUGUUCAUUGUCGGCCAAGUAUUGUUUCGACUAUUAAGCUGUUCCAAUUUUUGUCGGUGCUUCAAAUCUAUUACAGAAAUGCUGCGACACUUCCUUUUCAAUGCAUCCUACAAUGCUUCCUGUAAACAGAGCAUCCAAGUAAACUUACCCCCAUAUUGGCGCUAAAUUUGUUAUGUUUACCCCUUUCGAAAUUACAUGCUUCCAUCGAAGACAAAAAAUGCAUUCUAAAUUGCACAGAUUGCACCCUAAAUUCCAUGAAUCCAUCACACAAAAUUGCUUCUUAAUUGUCCCCUUUUGGAUACUGUUUUUUCCAGGAAAAUGCUUCCAUGCCAAAAAUACUAACAGAUGCAUCCCCAUCCUGGCACCAAGCUUAUUUCAAUACCAGGCGCCGUAUUUGUACUGUCCAUAUUUUCGUGCUUCUGUAAUCCUUUAUGUCAUCAGUCAACAUAUAUAUACUCUUAUUUUGUAGUGCAUUGCUUCCAUACAACUAAUUCCAGAAGAGAGCAAAUCUAUCACUUCAUUCCUUACGAAUCAUUUUCUUACAGAAAUGCUAACAAUCCGUAUUCCGUGUGUUCUCAGGUGACACUCAACAAUGACUAAAAAGGAGUCGAUCAUGCUACAGAGUCGAUAUUCAGCUGGUAAGUUUCCUAUGUAUCCUUUUUGUAUUUCUUCAGUGCAAACUCAUGUUAAUAAUGCUUCCUGCUUUCUCUGUUUGUAGUUUUGAAGUACUGAAGUAUAGUAUGCAGAAAUUUUUCCUCCCAUAUGUUGCGAAUGGUUUAGAAACACUUUGAAUGUGCAUAUGUUCUCUGACAUGUUAAUUUGUGAAUUCAAAUAUGUAUGCUUCGGAUGCGUCUAAUAUAUGUUAUGAUAGAACCAAAUUAGUGCUUCUUGUUAACCAUGCUUCCUUGAAUUUUAACAUAUGCUUCUAGUGUAGAGAUGUAGUGCGGAACUGAAACAAUAUUUCACGGACAUUAAAUUUUAGCACAGAAAUCUUGCCCAGCAAGUAUGCAGAUCAGUCAAAUCGAUCUUUUAUGCUUCUAGUGCAUGAGCAUCCAAUAAUUGCUUCGUAUUAGCCAUGCUUCCUACUUUUGAUUUCUCACAUAGUUUUGCUUCACCCACUACCCCUGUGUGCCCUUCAACCAUUGCCGGUGUUGCUUUUCGGAGUGAACUUUUGUCUCAACCACUGAACACUAUGUGUGCUUGAUUGUUUCUCAUUCAUGCUUUUACUAUGCAGAUUUCUCUACAACCUGAUGUGUUGUAAAUAUGUCGACUACAAUAUAGCCGAGAUCGUGAUUGCCUUGUUGAUGAUGGCAAGCUCACAGUGCAUGUGAGAUGGUCCAUUCAACGUCCUCUGUGAUGCUGGCUAGAGGGAUGUGAAAACAAUGUUGUUGUAAUAAUUUGUAUUUUAUUGUUUAAAUAAGUAUAAUAUAUGUCACCUAUUUUUUU
rnacentral:lncRNA from 1 species